AUUGGGUAGAAUUGAUCACGUGUUGAGACAGGAAUCCCAUGACAGCGUUAAUUCAUCUCGAUGGUUUGCACGAAAACCGACUGUAUAAAAUACGAGAACUAUACUAUUUAAACCAAUACCCAUUGUUUGAAACUUCUUGCGACAGAGGAAAAAUACCCAGAACGAACCAAUGCGUACGAUAUAAAUUCUCCGGGCUAAAAUUCAAGAAAGAAAUUUGCUCAAGGCGGGUGAGAUCGUGGAAGAUGGAUGACUGGUCGAGUGACUCGAUUGCAAUGCUGAUGCCAGAUGAAUUCAUACUAUCAAUGCCAAUUUCAAAGAUAGAAGACGAUCCUGUGAAGCCUUCCAACAGUAUUUGUUCGGCUGAAGACGCUGUUCUCGGAAAAACAUGGACAGCAAUCGUGAAGUCGGUGCUAUGUAAGUCAAAACGAGGUAUUUCGGCAUAGCUUGUUCCAUUGAAGGAUACUGCAGGCUUACUGUCUUUAGUUUCAAAUUGGGCUGCUCCUAUAAGACUUGAAAAACAAGCAAUAAGAGAAUUUUGAAAAAAUAGUUAGACCUUCACCACAGAAAAAUAAACAUUUAAUUUGAAAAGCUAA